rnacentral:rRNA from 1 species
GACGAACGCUGGCGGCGCGCUUAACACAUGCAAGUCGAACGGAAAGGCCUGCUUUCCCUUGUGGAUUGCGGGUACUCGAGUGGCGAACGGGUGAGUAACACGUGAGUGAUCUGCCCCCAACUUGGGUAUAAGCCUGGGAAACUGGGUCUAAUUCCCGAUAGGACUGCAGGGUGGUGCCUGUGGUGGAAAACGAUUUUCUAGUGGUUGGGGAUGAGCUCGCGGCCUAUCAGCUUGUUGGUGGGGUAAUGGCCUACCAAGGCGGCGACGGGUAGCCGGCCUGAGAGGGUGGACGGCCCCAUUGGGACUGAGAUACGGCCCAGACUCCUACGGGAGGCAGCAGUGGGGAAUAUUACACAAUGGGCGGAAGCCUGAUGCAGCGACGCCGCGUGGGGGAUGACGGCCUUCGGGUUGUAAACUCCUUUCGACCGCGAGGAAGCCACCUGGUUGGAAGGGUGGUGACGGUAGUGGUAGAAGAAGCACCGGCUAACUACGUG